GCCUUUACCAAUGUGACACUCCACUUUCCAAAAGGUCCUUCAUCUUAGAAUUACUUCAGCCUUAGCACGCAUAACUCUUUUAACCUCUUGAACUGUGGUACUGCGUAAAAUGCUAUAGCCAUGUGAGGUUCAGUCCUAAUAUAUCUUAUAAAUAGAAUUGCUCUAAAUUUUAGUGUCAAAUUCUCUGCCGCUGUAACAUAUGAUAUCUUUGUCAGCUCAGGUACGCUCACAAGUACCAAACAAUAUGAAAAUCAACUUUGUAG
rnacentral:lncRNA from 1 species